UAGGGAAUAUUAGAAAUGGACGAAAGUCUGAUCUAGCAACACCGCGUGUGCGAAGAAGGCCUUCGGGUCGUAAAGCACUUUUUGGAAGGAAUAGGAAGGAAUGUACUUCCAGAAUAAGUCUCGGCUAACUACGUGCCAGCAGCCGCGGUAACACGUAGGAGGCGAACGUUAUCCGGAUUUACUGGGCGUAAAGCGCGUGUAGGUGGUUCUGUAAGUAGGGCGUGAAAGCUCCUGGCUCAACUGGGAGAGGCCGUUCUAAACUACAGAACUAGAGGAUGGUAGAGGGAGGUGGAAUUCCAGGUGUAGCGGUGGAAUGCGCAGAUAUCUGGAGGAACACCAGUGGCGAAGGCGGCCUCCUGGACCAUUCCUGACACUCAGACGCGAAAGCUAGGGUAGCAAACG
rnacentral:rRNA from 1 species